UGGGGUGACUGCGUACCUUUUGUAUAAUGGGUCAGCGACUUAUAUUCUGUAGCAAGGUUAACCGUAUAGGGGAGCCGGAGGGAAACCGAGUCUUAACCGGGCGUUAAGUUGCAGGGUAUAGACCCGAAACCCGGUGAUCUAGCCAUGGGCAGGUUGAAGGUUGGGUAACACUAACUGGAGGACCGAACCGACUAAUGUUGAAAAAUUAGCGGAUGACCUGUGGCUGGGGGUGAAAGGCCAAUCAAACCGGGAGAUAGCUGGUUCUCCCCGAAAGCUAUUUAGGUAGCGCCUCGUGAAUUCAUCUCCGGGGGUAGAGCACUGUUUCGGCCAGGGGGCCAUCCCGGCUUACCAACCCGAUGCAAACUGCGAAUACCGGAGAAUGUUAUCACGGGAGACACACGGCGGGUGCUAACGUCCGUCGUGAAGAGGGAAACAACCCAGACCGCCAGCUAAGGUCCCAAAGUCAUGGUUAAGUGGGAAACGAUGUGGGAAGGCCCAGACAGCCAGGAUGUUGGCUUAGAAGCAGCCAUCAUUUAAAGAAAGCGUAAUAGCUCACUGGUCGAGUCGGCCUGCGCGGAAGAUGUAACGGGGCUAAACCAUGCACCGAAGCUGCGGCAGCGACACUGUGUGUUGUUGGGUAGGGGAGCGUUCUGUAAGCCUGCGAAGGUGUGCUGUGAGGCAUGCUGGAGGUAUCAGAAGUGCGAAUGCUGACAUAAGUAACGAUAAUGCGGGUGAAAAACCCGCACGCCGGAAGACCAAGGGUUCCUGUCCAACGUUAAUCGGGGCAGGGUGAGUCGACCCCUAAGGCGAGGCCGAAAGGCGUAGUCGAUGGGAAACGGGUUAAUAUUCCCGUACCUGGUGUUACUGCGAAGGGGGGACGGAGAAGGCUAUGUUGGCCGGGCGACGGUUGUCCCGGUUUAAGCGUGUAGGUGUGUGUUCCAGGAAAAUCCGGUUCACUUUAACACUGAGGCGUGACGACGAGGCACUACGGUGCUGAAGCAACAAAUGCCCUGCUUCCAGGAAAAGCCUCUAAGCCUCAGGUAACAUCAGAUCGUACCCGAAACCGACACAGGUGGUCAGGUAGAGAAUACCAAGGCGCUUGAGAGAACCCGGGUGAAGGAACUAGGCAAAAUGGUGCCGUAACUUCGGGAGAAGGCACGCUGACAUGUAGGUGAAGCGGUUUACCCGUGGAGCUGAAGUCAGUCGAAGAUACCAGCUGGCUGCAACUGUUUAUUAAAAACACAGCACUGUGCAAACACGAAAGUGGACGUAUACGGUGUGACGCCUGCCCGGUGCCGGAAGGUUAAUUGAUGGGGUCAGCGCAAGCGAAGCUCCUGAUCGAAGCCCCGGUAAACGGCGGCCGUAACUAUAACGGUCCUAAGGUAGCGAAAUUCCUUGUCGGGUAAGUUCCGACCUGCACGAAUGGCGUAAUGAUGGCCAGGCUGUCUCCACCCGGGACUCAGUGAAAUUGAACUCGCUGUGAAGAUGCAGUGUACCCGCGGCAAGACGGAAAGACCCCGUGAACCUUUACUAUAGCUUGACACUGAACACUGGUCCUUGAUGUGCAGGAUAGGUGGGAGGCUUUGAAGUGUGGACGCCAGUCUGCAUGGAGCCGUCCUUGAAAUACCACCCUUUAAUGGCUGGUGUUCUAACGUAGACCCGUGAACCGGGUUGCGGACAGUGUCUGGUGGGUAGUUUGACUGGGGCGGUCUCCUCCUAAAGCGUAACGGAGGAGCACGAAGGUUGGCUAAUCCUGGUCGGACAUCAGGAGGUUAGUGCAAUGGCAUAAGCCAGCUUGACUGCGAGCGUGACGGCGCGAGCAGGUGCGAAAGCAGGUCAUAGUGAUCCGGUGGUUCUGAAUGGAAGGGCCAUCGCUCAACGGAUAAAAGGUACUCCGGGGAUAACAGGCUGAUACCGCCCAAGAGUUCAUAUCGACGGCGGUGUUUGGCACCUCGAUGUCGGCUCAUCACAUCCUGGGGCUGAAGUAGGUCCCAAGGGUAUGGCUGUUCGCCAUUUAAAGUGGUACGCGAGCUGGGUUUAGAACGUCGUGAGACAGUUCGGUCCCUAUCUGCCGUGGGCGCUGGAGAACUGAGGGGGGCUGCUCCUAGUACGAGAGGACCGGAGUGGACGCAUCACUGGUGUUCGGGUUGUCAUGCCAAUGGCACUGCCCGGUAGCUAAAUGCGGAAGAGAUAAGUGCUGAAAGC
rnacentral:rRNA from 1 species